AGUGUCCUAAUGGCUAAGACGACCCUAAUCAACAAGAGCCCUAUGUUGGUUGAUGACGUCAACGAUAACAAAGAGCCUUCCAUAAUCCUUUCCAUAGUUGAUUAGGCUACCCUUCCAAUCUCCACGAACCUCUUGAACGAAAUUUUCGGCGAUCUGAAGGAGUAGAAGCGCUAGCCAAUUGCUCUAUUAGGUUGUGUGGCUUCGAAAGUGAUUUGAAUGGGGAAGAUUCAACUCUUGAAAUAAUUACUUGAUUUCAUUAAGGUAAGUGAUCUCUUAAUUUUUUUGUCUAGUAGAAUUAUCUACUUCUUUUCAUUGUUUUUGUGUUCGGUGUUAUGUGAAUGAGGUAAGGAAUUCAUUGUUCCACUUGAUUAAGCUUUAUGAGAAAAAUGGUUAAUUGAAAUAUUAUGUGUUGAUUGUAAGGUUUGUGAAUUUCCUUUUUAUGCCCCUACUUGCUUGAUUGAUGAAUUUCUUAAAUACAUGAAAGUGGAUUGAAUUGCAUGAAUUUUUCUCUUCUGUGUGGUGUGAUAUUUUUCAUGUGCAUUGAUUGUUGAACACCGUGAUAAGACAUGUUGAGGGUGAUGAUGUCAAAGUCAUUUACAACAAAUGUUAUGAUGUCAUUUCCGGCAACAAAGGCGUAUCUACAGGGGGUUCCACGGGUUCACGUGAACGCGUGUUUUCCUUUCCAGAUCAUAUAUAGUAGUGUUAUAUUUUUCAAAAAAUAUUUAAAUAUAGAAGUGUGAACUCACAUCAAAAGUAGCAUAUAAUAAUACGAUGAUGAUUGGGUGCACCGCUCUAAGCAAAGAUGGUAACUUAAAUCUUAUUUUUGUUGACAUCCUUUGAAUGGGACCAACGUCGCGGCGACUCAAUUAAAAAAGAAUUUAAGUUAAAAGAAUUUUAAAACGGGUAAAAGGGAGUUAAAAAGGAAAAAGGGAGUAGCCACCUAAUUAUUAUUUUUUUGAAAAACUAGGAAACUGAUUAAUUAAUUAACUUGAAAGAAAUGUCUAUGAAACCAAUUUGAUUCUACGUAAGGGGUUCAAGUUAUUACGAAUGGAAGGGGUUAGACACCCUUCGAAAUCCACAACUGUGGUUCCCGACUUAGUUCAUUUAUUCAAAUUGAAAAGGAGAACAAAAUAAUGUACAAAUAUAAUAAACAUGCAAUAUACACAAUAAAAUAAAAUAAUAAUAUCGGCCUAAGGUUUGCCUAACAUCGCUAUAUACAAAAUAAUGAAUUGUAAAAUAUAAUUCCAACUCCUUUCGAAUAGCUUCAAGGAAGCAAGUCUUUGGCACAUGUAAACACACUUAGUAAAAGUGUUAGUUUAGUAAUAAAUAAUUAUGAAUAAAAUUGAAUGUAUAAAAUAAUAACUUUUAAAAAACCCGACUUAUUAACAUUUAAGGCCUUGGAAAUUGACGAUAAUUUCUUUAUCGGCCAAUUUAACAAAUAAACAUAUAUAAACUUAAUUUAAAUUUUCAUCUUUUAAAAUAGGAAAGUCUCCAAAAUUGACGGAGAGUUUUCUCAUUGCCAAUUUGACAAUAACAUUGCUUAAAACGAUAAACAAAAUAUUAGUGGUCUGAUGGGUGGCCGACAAAAUCUUCACAAACGACAAUAAAAAUUUUCUCAACAAUGUUAUAACACACGUAUAACGCUUAAAAUGUCCAAAGUAAUAAAUAAUAAAUAAUGUAAAAUAAUAAUAAUAAUAAAUAACCAAAAUCAACCUUGAACAGAUUGAAAAAUAAACUAAUAGAAAAUAAUCAUCAUGACAGUCACUCAUAUAUCACAAAAAUAAAUUAAGAAUUAGAAGAAUAGUAACUAAAAAUAUAAAACAAACCAAAGAAAAUCAUAAGAAUAUAACCAUGAUAAUGCAAAGGAAAAAAAUAAAAAUAAAAACUCUGUAAAAUAAGAGCAGUCAUUAAAAUGAAAUAACAAUAAUAAAGUUAAUAUUGCACCAAACCUAUAAUAAUACUACUGUUACUAACAAUAAUAAUAAUAAAAAUAAUAAUAAACUGUAUGGUACAAUGGCAAUAAAAAUUAAUAACUACUCCUCCAAUGAACCAAUAAACCAAUAAAAAAUGAAAUAUAAACCAUCAAAGUCAUAAUCUCAAUAAACAAAAAUAACGAACAAAAGAGAAAAAAUAAACAAACCACUCAAUAUGGUUGUUGUCCGGCGAUGCUGGUGUCGUUCUUGUUGAGUAUUCAUUGAAAAUGGAUUUGAGGUGGAAUUUUGUUCACCCAAGUGCAGCUCACCAAUAACCUGCAAAACAAAUAAAAAAUCGAAAGCGAAAAGAAGAAGAAGAAGGGAUUUGGUUCAUUGUUUAGCUCCGGUUCACUGGAGUUUUGAGCUCCUCGUCGGAGUUGCUGCUGGUGUUCGCGAGCUUUGAGCUCGAUGGUGGAGCAUUUGGACUCGGAGUUCCGGUGAUGGACUCGUGAUGGCUGUUUUGGAUCAGUUUCGGCGGCUGAGCGUUUGGGGUUAAUUUAGUGGUCGUUCUAGCGAGGUUUUGCUGGAAACAAUGGAGAAGAGGGAGAGGUCUGGUUGUGCACUGCGAUAUGGGUUUGGUUUGAGGCUGUUUGGGGUCGAUUUUGGCUGAAGAAUGGUGACAUUUUCUGGUUCAUUUUCAGUUAGUUGUGGGAUUUUGUUUGCUGGAAAAAGGGAAGAAGGUGAUUGGUUUCAGUCAGAGCUUGGCCGGAGAAUUGUAGGAAAUUUGAAAGAAAAAAUAAUACAUUUAGAAAAUGCUCAAGUUUAUUAUAGGCUACUUAAAGUCACUUGAACUUGAAAUGAUUACAGUCAUCAACUACAUCACUAUUUUUACUGCUCAAAAUAAAAAAUAAAAAGUUUUGCACAAA